CGCGAGGGCGUACGACCUCGGUGCCGGCGGGGGUGC
rnacentral:sRNA from 1 species